ACAGAACUGUUAAAUAUGAUCCUGUCCCACAGCGUUCUGUUAUAGUAUGAUUGUUAUAUUAGCCCCAUUUAACUUACAGGGAACAGAGAUCUGAUGUGGUCAGAGCAGACCAUGGGUCUGGCCCAGGAAAAUCUGGGGCAGAGUGGGGUUGGCACACACCCCAAGGACAUAGGGUGAGAUAUGCAGAUCCCAGCUGGUUAGUUGAGCCCCGUCCUUGCCUUCCUGAACUCUGUUGGUUGGGGUUUGUCCUGUCCCCUCUUAUCUCCUGCAGUCAGUUUAUGCUGCAUUCGAGUCAGCGGAUCCAGUUCCCCAGAUUCUGCAACCAAGUUUUCCCCUCGCGGGGAAAAUGUUUGAGAGGUCUGUGACUAUAGCAGAUGGUGCUGAAGUCCUCAGUGCUUGUGGUUUCUUUGAUGUUCAAAGUGACAGUAAAGUGACAUCCUAAAGGCCAAGAUCACAUCUCUUUGCAGCCUACUUUCCCUGCGGCUCCAGCCUUGCUUGCUCUCCCUCCUGGAGCUUGCUUGGUGCUUCCUUAGUGCCCCAUCCAGGCAGUCCUUAGAAUGCUCAUCCCUCUUGGCAGGCUCCUUUUCCUUAAGAUCUGGUGUCACCUUGGCUAGGCACGGUGGCUCAUGCCUGUAAUCCCAGCACUUUGGGAUGCCGAGGCGGGCGGAUCACGAGGUCAGGAGAUCGAGACCAUCCUGGCUAACAUGGUGAAACCCCGUCUCUACUAAAAAUAACAAAAAAAAGUAGCUGGGCGUGGUGGCGGGCGCCUGUGGUUACAGCUACUCGGGAGGCUGAGGCAGGAGAAUGGUGUGAACCCGGGAGGCGGAGCUUGCAGUGAGCCGAGAUCGCGCCACUGCACUCCAGCCCGGGCGACAGAGCGAGACUCCGUCUCAAAAAAAAAAAAAAAAAAAGAUCUGGUGUCACCUUAACAGAUCUAAAGUAGAUGUCCUUGUUUCCUGACGGCCCCUUCUUUCCUUAAUCCGGUGCCGGAUGGGGCGGGGCACGGUGCGGGCUUCCGGCGGAAGCGCUGGAAGCAAGAUGGCGGCCGCUGAGAGGGUUCACAAAGGGUAUGGUGGAGUGGAGCGAGGCACGGUCCUCGUGGGCAGUGCCAAGAUUGGGGGUGGGCAGAGUGGGCGGGGUGCGGACCCAUGGCCCUACGCAUCCUGGGCCAUGUCUCCUGUGGUGCUUCACGCUCUCGACCUGUGAGUGGUGCCUGCUAGCGCUGCCCAGAUCCCUUUUCCCUACCCCUUCUGACCCUGGACCCAGAGUGGUGGUUGCGAUCUGCUACCGUGACGUCAGUCCUCAUUCCACUCGUUCCACAAACUCCACAGCUCUGGCCCAUUAGAGGAAGGAGGUCCCAGAAUAGCUGGGAAAUUACGAGAACAGCCUCACUGCACGAGUUGGUGAAUGCUGUGAUGCGAUUGUAUGAUGGACGGUGAUGUUGAAACCAGACUGGGGAAUGACCGCCCCAUCCGGAGAGGUUAAGAAUUUUAGACCCAGUUCUGCUACUGACUUUCUGUGUGGACACAAACUCACUGAGCCUUCAGUUCUUCAAAUCAUUUUUUCUUUUUUCUUUUUUUUUUGAGAUGGAGUCUCACUCUGUCACCCAGGCUGGAGUGCAGUGGAGCGAUCUUGGCUCACUGCAACCUCUGCCUUCUGGGUUCAAGCGAUUCUUCUGCCUCAGCCUCCCAGGUAGCUGGGACUACAGGUGCCUGCAACCACCCCCUAAUUUUUUUUGUAUUUUUAGUAGAGACGGGGUUUCACUAUGUUGGCCAGGCUGGUCUUGAACUCCUGACCUCGUGAUCCGCCUGCCUUGGCCUCCCAAAGUGCUGGGAUUACAGGUGUAAGCUGCUGUGCCCAGCCUUUUUUUUUUUUUUUUUUUUAGAGAUGUGUUCUCACUCUGUCAUCCAGGCUGGAUUGCAGUGUUGUUGAUCAUAGCUCAAGCGGUCUUCCUGCCUCAGCCUCCCAAAGUGCUGUGAUUACAGGUGUGAGCCACUGCACCUGGCGUCUUCAUAUCUUACCAUGAAAAGCACCAAGGAUUCUCUUUUGUUGAAUUUGAGUUGGCAGAGGAUGUUGCAGCAGCUGUCAACAACAUGAAUGAAUCUGAGCUCUUUGGGUGGACAAUUUCUGUUAAUUUGGCCAAACCAAUGAGAGUUAAGGAAGGCUCUUCCAGACCAGUUUGGUCAGAUGAAGACUGGGUGGAGAAGUUUGCUGGGAAGAGGAUAAAGAGGAAGGUGGUUGAGAGUUCCCAAAGCAGAAAGCCAGGAGGUGUAUAUGGACAUCAAGAUUGGGAACAAGCCAGCUGGCUGCAUCCAAACCCUCGUGCGUUCCGACGUCGUGCCCAUGACAGCAGAGAAUUUUUGCUACCUGUGCACCCAUUUAAAGGAUUUGGCUUCAAGGGAAGCAGCUUCCACCGCAUUAUCCCCCAGUUCACGUGCCAGGGCAGUGAUUUCACAAACCACGGCGGCACCAGGGGCAAGUCCAUCUACAAGAAGAAAUUUGAUGAUGAAAACUUUAUCUUCAAACACACAGGACCAGGUCUGCGCAGGCAUGGCACUAAGUGUCCCAUGGCACAUUUGGCCCUCAUGGAGGCCUCAAAAGGGCAGGACCAGCACCCUCUUCUACAGAGGAAGGAACGGGCACAGCAGACUUGCAGAUCCUGCCCCCCUCCCCACUUCUGCACUUGGGGUCUAAUGAGGCCUCAGUGGAACAUAGAAUUCCUCCCGCCCUGACAUCAUAGCUCCCGCCUGGGAGGCCUCCUGGAUGACUCCUCUCGCCUCCUCCCUUCCCUGAGAGCAGCCCCUGGCUCAACCUCCACCUCCGUGCUGCCUCGGAUCACCUGCCUGGUGGAGCUGCCAUCACCUGACAGGAGGUGUCAGCUCCACGGUUGGUUUGCUUCCGUGCCCACCGACAGCCUCCGCUAGAGCACAGUGCCUGUUUGCUGCCCUGCAGUCUGUGAGCACUCACUUUAGUUGAGCCCCUGAGGGGCAGGGGCAGGGGCAGAGGAGAUGGAGUCCGGGAGCUGCAGGUGCAGUCACCUUCCCGUGUACCUCCCACACAUGCAGCCGUGAGAACCACACGGCAUAAAGGGUGGCUGGGCCAGGCCACCCCGCGCAUCCUCAUCACCCCUGGGCCUUUCCAAGGAGGCGGCUCCAGGUGUCCAGCAAAUGCCAUUUGACUGCUCAGAAAGGAAGCAUUAUCAUAGGCUCAGAGCAGCUUUUGGUAAUUUCUUUCCUCUCACACCAAGGCAUUGCGUCCGCACGUGUGUGUGUGUGUGUUUUAAUUUUUAAUUUAGAGACAGGGUUUUGCUGUGUUGCCCAGGCUUGUCUUGAACUUCUGGGCUCGUGUGCUGCGAUUACAGGGUGAACCACCGCGCCUGAUCAAGGCAUGACCGUUGAACAUCCUAAGAGGAAAACAAGGCUGUGCAAUACCAGGAACUGGGAUUCUAGGUAAAAAGUUCUAGAAGGAAGCCUCGGUGCCAGAAUCCGCAAACACGCAGAGCACUCAACAGUGAGCAGCACCAGUAAUCCCAUCAGAAGCCUGCUUUUGUCCUUUAAGGUUGCCCCAGACACCGAGGCAUCAAAAGCCAGGGGAUCCAGAGAAAACACAGACGGCCAAGAGAGAAACUGGGGGAAAAGCCAAAAGGUUGAGAGCCACACCAUCUAGACGCUUCCUGCCUGCGGUGCG